rnacentral:rRNA from 1 species
GACGUAGGGGGCCAGCGUUGUUCGGAAUUACUGGGCGUAAAGGGCUCGUAGGCGGCCAACUAAGUCAGACGUGAAAUCCCUCGGCUUAACCGGGGAACUGCGUCUGAUACUGGAUGGCUUGAGGUUGGGAGAGGGAUGCGGAAUUCCAGGUGUAGCGGUGAAAUGCGUAGAUAUCUGGAGGAACACCGGUGGCGAAGGCGGCAUCCUGGACCAACACUGACGCUGAGGAGCGAAAGCCAGGGGAGCAAACGGG